rnacentral:rRNA from 1 species
UGGGGAAUAUUACACAAUGGGGGAAACCCUGAUGCAGCGACGCCGCGUGAGCGAAGAAGUAUUUCGGUAUGUAAAGCUCUAUCAGCAGGGAAGAAAAUGACGGUACCUGACUAAGAAGCCCCGGCUAACUACGUGCCAGCAGCCGCGGUAAUACGUAGGGGGCAAGCGUUAUCCGGAUUUACUGGGUGUAAAGGGAGCGUAGACGGAUGUGCAAGUCUGAAGUGAAAGCCCGGGGCUCAACCCCGGGACUGCAUUGGAAACUGUUGAUCUUGAGUACCGGAGGGGUAAGCGGAAUUCCUAGUGUAGCGGUGAAAUGCGUAGAUAUUAGGAGGAACACCAGUGGCGAAGGCGGCUUACUGGACGGUAACUGACGUUGAGGCUCGAAAGCGUGGGGAGCAAACAGGAUUAGAUACC